GACGAACGCUGGCGGCGUGCUUAACACAUGCAAGUCGAACGGCAAGGCCCUGAUUGCGUGCGGUGCUCGAGUGGCGAACGGGUGAGUAAGACGUGAGUAACCUGCCCUUGACUUUGGGAUAACUUAAGGAAACUGGGGCUAAUACCGGAUAGGAGCUCCUGCUGCGUGGAGGGGGGGGGAACGUUUCGGCGGUUGGGGUUGGACUAGCGGCUUAUCAGCUUGUUGGUGGGGUAGUGGCUUACCAAGGCUUUGGCGGGUAGGCGGCCCGAGAGGGUGACCGGCCACCGUGCUCCUGCGAGAGGGCCCAGACUCCUACGUUAGGCAGUAGUGGGGAAUCUUGCACAGUGGGCCGAAGCCUGUUGCAGCAACGCCGCGGUCGUGAUGACGUCUUUCUGGUUGUGAACCGCUUUCGCCUGUGACGAAGCGUUAGUGACGGUAACGGGUAAAGAAGCACCGGCUAACUACGUG
rnacentral:rRNA from 1 species